rnacentral:rRNA from 1 species
CCUACGGGAGGCAGCAGUGAGGAAUAUUGGUCAAUGGACGAGAGUCUGAACCAGCCAAGUAGCGUGAAGGAUGACUGCCCUAUGGGUUGUAAACUUCUUUUAUAUGGGAAUAAAACGUUCCACGUGUGGGAUUUUGUAUGUACUAUAUGAAUAAGGAUCGGCUAACUCCGUGCCAGCAGCCGCGGUAAUACGGAGGAUCCGAGCGUUAUCCGGAUUUAUUGGGUUUAAAGGGAGCGUAGGUGGAUUGUUAAGUCAGUUGUGAAAGUUUGCGGCUCAACCGUAAAAUUGCAGUUGAAACUGGCAGUCUUGAGUACAGUAGAGGUGGGCGGAAUUCGUGGUGUAGCGGUGAAAUGCUUAGAUAUCACGAAGAACUCCGAUUGCGAAGGCAGUUCACUAGACUGCAACUGACACUGAGGCUCGAAAGUGUGGGUAUCAAACAGGAUUAGAUACCCGAGUAGUC